AAGUCGUAACAAGGUUUCCGUAGGUGAACCUGCGGAAGGAUCAUUACAGAGUUCUUGCCCUUCGGGGUAGACCUCCACCCUUGCUUAUCUUACCAUGUUGCUUUGGCGGGACGCCUCGGCCACCGACCUCGGUUGGUGAGUGCCCGCCAGAGAACCCUAAACUCUGAAUUAUACAUGUCGUCUGAGUACUAUAUAAUAGUUAAAACUUUCAACAACGGAUCUCUUGGUUCUGGCAUCGAUGAAGAACGCAGCGAAAUGCGAUAAGUAAUGUGAAUUGCAGAAUUCAGUGAAUCAUCGAAUCUUUGAACGCACAUUGCGCCCAUUAGUAUUCUAGUGGGCAUGCCUGUUCGAGCGUCAUUAAAUCACUUAAGCCUUGCUUAGUGUUGGGAAUCUACUUUCGCGGAAGCUACCCGGGACUUACCCUGUAGCUACCCUGUAGUUCCUUAAAGUGAGCGGCGGAGUUGUGAUAUCCUCUGAGCUUAGUAGUAAUAUUCUAGCUUUCGAGAAGUCACUGCGCUUGCCGUAAAACACCCUUCUUUUGAAUGGUUGACCUCGGAUCAGGUAGGAAUACCCGCUGAACUUAA
rnacentral:rRNA from 1 species